UUCUAAAACACAAGUUCAAUCAUGUCAGUUCCAUUUUUAAAAUAUUGCAAUGACUAGUUAGUACUUGGAUGGGAGACCUCCUGGGAAUACCGGGUGCUAUAGGCU
ensembl:rRNA 5S_rRNA 5S ribosomal RNA